UGAAGCAUUGUAGUGAAGAGUAUGUGCAUGAAGAUUACUUACCUCUUUUCCUUGAUUCCCUUUGCUUACCAUGGCUAGGAUUUGUUUUCCUCAAGAGAGAUCAUGCAUAUUAUUGUUAAGACUUUUUCCAGCUUUUGGUGUGACUUGCCCUUACCUUGAAGUACUUUAUUCAGGCUUUUGCACUUUAGAUCUUGCUUGGAAAGGUCACCAACCUAUUUUUGAUGUAACUUUUUGAUAUUUCAGUUGGUCACCUAUCCAAGUGGCUAGUAGCCUUGUUCUUAGUCUUUUGACCAUUGGAACAGUUUUUGAAUUUGUGCUUUUGAGGGCUUUGCCUUUGCUGAAUUUUCUUUCUCUCAAUGACUUGGGCAAAUCAACA
rnacentral:lncRNA from 1 species